rnacentral:rRNA from 1 species
CCCUUAGAUGUCCUGGGCCGCACGCGCGCUACACUGAUGCAUUCAACGAGUUCACCUUGGCCGAGAGGCCUGGGCAAUCUUUUGAACGUGCAUCGUGAUAGGGAUAGAUUAUUGAAAUUUUUAAUCUUGAACGAGGAAUUCCUAGUAAACGCAGAUCAUCAAUCUGCAUUGAUUACGUCCCUGCCCUUUGUACACACCGCCCGUCGCACCUACCGAUUGAAUGGUCCGGUGAAGCCUCGGGAUUGUGGCCAGUUCCCUUUAUUGGGAGUUGGUUGUGAGAACUUGUCUAAACCUUAUCAUUUAGAGGAAGGUGAAGUCGUAACA